rnacentral:misc_RNA from 1 species
GGGAACUAACUGCUAAAUGCUUUCCCAGAAGUUUAACCAUGAAUCUAAAUUGGCCACUUGGUGUCGUACCUGGAGCAAGUUUCCUUUCAGUCCUGAUGCCUUUAAUGUUAUUUUCAAGAAAUAAAUUGGCUCUCAGUGUUUUUUAAUUUUUUUUUAUUUUUGUGCCUCACUUUGUUCAAUCAUGCACAUGCGUCUUGCGCUUAGACUCCUUGACUCCUUGACACCUUAAUGCACCUUGAGCUUUUAAUAAUUAUU